GACGAAGGAUGCAAGCGUUAUCCGGAUUCAUUGGGUUUAAAGGGAGCGUAGGUGGUCUACUAAGUCAGUGGUGAAAUCUCUCGGCUUAACUGAGAAAUUGCCAUUGAUACUGGUGGACUUGAGUGUAGUUCCGUUGGCGGAAUAUGACAUGUAGUGGUGAAAUACAUAGAGAUGUCAUAGAACACCGAUUGUGAGGGCAGCUGACGAAACUAUAACUGACACUGAGGCUCGAAAGUGCGGGGAUCAAACAGG
rnacentral:rRNA from 1 species